rnacentral:rRNA from 1 species
CUUAUUAUUAAAGAAUUUCGGUUAUCGAUGGGGAUGCGUUCCAUUAGGCAGUUGGUGAGGUAACGGCUCACCAAACCUUCGAUGGAUAGGGGUUCUGAGAGGAAGGUCCCCCACAUUGGAACUGAGACACGGUCCAAACUCCUACGGGAGGCAGCAGUGAGGAAUAUUGGUCAAUGGGCGCAGGCCUGAACCAGCCAAGUAGCGUGAAGGAUGACUGCCCUAUGGGUUGUAAACUUCUUUUAUAUGGGAAUAAAGUUUUCCACGUGUGGAAUUUUGUAUGUACCAUAUGAAUAAGGAUCGGCUAACUCCGUGCCAGCAGCCGCGGUAAUACGGAGGAUCCGAGCGUUAUCCGGAUUUAUUGGGUUUAAAGGGAGCGUAGGUGGACAGUUAAGUCAGUUGUGAAAGUUUGCGGCUCAACCGUAAAAUUGCAGUUGAUACUGGCUGUCUUGAGUACAGUAGAGGUGGGCGGAAUUCGUGGUGUAGCGGUGAAAUGCUUAGAUAUCACGAAGAACUCCGAUUGCGAAGGCAGCUCACUGGACUGCAACUGACACUGAUGCUCGAAAGUGUGGGUAUCAAACAGGAUUAGAUACCCUGGUAGUCCACACAGUAAACGAUGAAUACUCGCUGUUUGCGAUAUACAGUAAGCGGCCAAGCGAAAGCAUUAAGUAUUCCACCUGGGGAGUACGCCGGCAACGGUGAAACUCAAAGGAAUUGACGGGGGCCCGCACAAGCGGAGGAACAUGUGGUUUAAUUCGAUGAUACGCGAGGAACCUUACCCGGGCUUAAAUUGCAUUUGAAUAUACUGGAAACAGUAUAGCCGUAAGGCAAAUGUGAAGGUGCUGCAUGGUUGUCGUCAGCUCGUGCCGUGAGGUGUCGGCUUAAGUGCCAUAACGAGCGCAACCCUUAUCUUUAGUUACUAACAGGUCAUGCUGAGGACUCUAGAGAGACUGCCGUCGUAAGAUGUGAGGAAGGUGGGGAUGACGUCAAAUCAGCACGGCCCUUACGUCCGGGGCUACACACGUGUUACAAUGGGGGGUACAGAAGGCAGCUACCUGGUGACAGGAUGCUAAUCCCAAAAGCCUCUCUCAGUUCGGAUCGAAGUCUGCAACCCGACUUCGUGAAGCUGGAUUCGCUAGUA